GACGAUAAUAAACACAACAGCUCAUUUUCUCUCCCGCCAUGCCCGCACCCUGCUGCAUCUUCUCCCCUCCCCUUCUCUCACUCACCACACCGAAGUCCUCCCCAUUUCUACCCUACCAGACUCUCCCCCAUUUCCGAGCCUUCAAUUUCUGCUCGCCCAAGACUCUUCACACCUCAAAAAACCCUCUCAAAUUCGGCAAAACCUUUUAUAAACUCCCUAAAUCAAUUUUCCCUGCCGAGUCUCAAGUCUCCGACGAAGAAGACGAAGACGAAGGCGAAGAGCAACUAGAGGAGGAUGAUAAUGAAUAUGCGGACGACGAUGAAGAUAUUGCGGCUGAUGAAUACGACGGCGUGCGACACGAGGUGAGCGAAGAAGAGGAAGAAGAGGAAAUUGAGAGUUUUUCCGUGGUGGCCGAGAGUAAGGAGUCCAAGCAUGAGGAAUUCAAGUGGCAGAGAAUCGCGAGGAUUUGUAACGAAGUUAAAGUGUUCGGCGAUGAAAUUCUCGAUGUUGAUGAGCUCGCUUCCAUUUACUCUUUCAGAAUUGAUAAAUUUCAGCGAUCGGCAAUUCAAGCAUUCCUGAGAGGAUCAUCAGUGGUGGUUUCUGCACCAACCAGUAGUGGGAAAACUCUAAUAGCAGAAGCUGCAGCAGUUGCCACAGUAGCCAAAGAAAGAAGAUUGUUCUACACAACUCCCUUAAAGGCUCUAUCUAAUCAGAAAUUCCGUGAAUUCCGUGAAGCAUUUGGUGAUAGUAAUAUUGGGCUCAUUACUGGAGAUUCAGCUAUUAACAAAGAUGCCCAAGUUGUAAUUAUGACUACAGAGAUUUUGCGCAACAUGCUGUAUCAGAGUGUAGGAGUUGUUUCAUCUGAAAGUGGACUUCUCCAUGUUGAUGUGAUUGUUCUGGAUGAAGUGCAUUAUUUGAGUGACAUAUCUCGGGGUACAGUUUGGGAAGAGAUUGUUAUAUAUUGCCCAAAAGAAGUGCAACUCAUAUGCCUCUCAGCAACUGUUGCUAAUCCAGAUGAACUGGCUGGUUGGAUUAAUCAGAUUCAUGGUAAAACCGAGUUGGUGACGUCAUCCAAGCGUCCAGUUCCUUUGACUUGGCACUUCUCAACAAAGACAGCUUUGCUACCUCUUCUUAAUGAGAAAGGCACUGGCAUGAAUAGGAGGCUCUCACUAAAUCGCAUGGAACCUGAUUCUUCUGGAACUGAUUUCUCCAAGGAUGAAAGGCCCAGGAGAAGGAACUCAAGAAAACAUGAAAAUGAUGUAACUACACUUUCAAAGAAUGGUGUAAACACCACUCGCCGCUCACAAGUCCCUCAAGUUGUAGACACGUUAUGGCAGCUUAAGGGAUGGGAUAUGCUUCCUGCAAUUUGGUUUAUCUUUAGCAGGAAAGGAUGUGAUGCAGCGGUGCAGUAUCUUGAAGACUGCAAGUUACUUGAUGAGUGUGAGAUCAGUGAAGUUGAACUGGCACUGAAGAAGUUUCGUGUUCAAUAUCCUGAUGCUGUCAGAGAAUCUUCCGUGAAAGGUCUUCUCCGAGGGGCUGCAGCUCAUCAUGCUGGCUGCCUUCCCUUAUGGAAAUCUUUCAUAGAGGAGCUGUUUCAAAGAGGGCUAGUUAAGGUUGUUUUUGCCACGGAAACACUUGCUGCUGGGAUUAACAUGCCAGCGAGGACAGCUGUAAUUUCGUGUCUUAGCAAAAGGGGUGAAAGUGGACGUAUCCAGUUAAGCUCAAAUGACUUGAUGCAAAUGGCUGGCCGUGCUGGUCGUAGGGGCAUUGAUGAUAGAGGUCAUGCAGUUCUUGUUCAAACGCCAUAUGAAGGCCCUGAAGAGGGCUUCAAGCUUCUUUUUUCUGGCCUCAAGCCUCUUGUAUCACAGUUUACUGCUUCUUAUGGAAUGGUUCUGAAUCUUCUAGCGGGUACAAAAGUUAGAAGUAGAAUGAGUGAAUCAGAUGACAUAAAAGUCUUACAAGCAGGCCGGACUUUAGAAGAAGCGAGGAAGUUAGUCGAGCAGAGUUUUGGAAAUUAUGUUGGGAGCAAUGUUAUGCUUGCUGCCAAAGAAGAACUUGCUAGGAUACAAAAUGAUAUAGAGAUGCUGACUGCAGAAAUUACUGAUGAAGCUAUUGAUAGGAAAAGCCAGAAACUGUUGUCUCAAUCAGCAUAUAAAGAGAUUGCCACCCUCCAGGAAGAACUAAGGGCAGAAAAAUGUAGGCGGACUGAUCUACAAAGAAAAAUGGAAUUGGAGAGACUCUUUUCUUUGAAACCUCUGUUGAAGGAGCUUGAAGAUGGGCACUUACCCUUUAUGUGCUUACAGUAUAAUGAUACUGAUGGGGUUCAACAUCUGCUUCCUGCUGUCUAUCUGGGGCAGCUUGAUUCUCUGAAUGCUUCCAAACUUAAAAAAAUGGUCAGCAGUUCAGAUUCUUUUGCACUAAGUUUAGACAGACAAAUUUAUCAAUCAGGUUAUACUGGAUGCAAACAUGAAGUUGCACUAUCUUAUCAUGUGGCUCUUGGUUCGGAUAAUUCUUGGUAUCUUUUCACGGAAAAGUGGAUAAGAACAGUUUACAGGACUGGCUUUCCUAAUGUUCCCCUGGCUCAAGGUGAUACUUUGCCUCGGGUAAUCAUGUCAGAACUUCUUGACAAGGGGGACAUGCAGUGGCAGAAGCUUGUCGAAUCUGAGCUUGGGGGUUUGUGGUGCAUGGAAGGAUCUCUUGAGACGUGGUCUUGGAGUUUAAACGUGCCAGUCUCAAGUAGUCUUUCACAAGAUGAUGAGGUACUAAAACCAUCUCAAGCAUACUAUGAUGCAGUACAAAGCUACAAGGAUCAGAGAAAUAGAGUCUCCCGUUUAAAGAAAAAAAUUGCACGUAGCGAAGGCUUUAAAGAAUAUAAGAAGAUAACUGAUUUUGCCAAGUUUACUGAAGAAAAGAUUCGACGUUUAAUGGCCAGAUCAAAGCGUCUGACUAACAGAAUCAAGCAGAUUGAACCUUCUGGUUGGAAGGAAUUUCUGCAGGUCAGCAAUGUCAUACAUGAAGCUAGGGCCUUGGAUAUAAACACACACGUCAUAUUCCCCCUGGGUGAAACUGCAGCUGCAAUUCGGGGAGAAAAUGAACUCUGGCUUGCUAUGGUUCUUCGAAACAAGAUAUUGCUGGAUCUAAAACCUGCACAGUUUGCUGCUGUCUGUGGAAGCCUAGUUUCUGAAGGGAUUAAGAUCAGGCCCUGGAAAAAUAACAGCUAUAUAUAUGAAGCUUCCUCCACUGUGACCAACGUAAUCGAAUUUUUGGCAGAUCAAAGAAGCUCACUCUUAGAACUUCAGGAAAAGCAUGGAGUAAUGAUACCUUGCUGCUUGGAUAGCCAAUUUUCUGGUAUGGUUGAAGCCUGGGCUUCUGGUCUAACUUGGAGAGAGAUUAUGAUGGACUGUGCGAUGGAUGAAGGUGAUCUAGCUCGUCUCUUACGUCGAACAAUUGAUUUAUUAGCACAGAUUCCCAAGUUGCCUGACAUUGACCCACUACUGCAAAGCAACGCCAAGGGUGCAUCUGAUAUCAUGGACCGUCCCCCGAUAAGUGAGCUGGCGGGGUGAGCAAUGACGAGGACAUUAAUUGGAGAAAAUUAUCUAAUUGUGGGUGAUGGUGUCCAUUUCUACAAAUUUCAAGGGACUGUUGAUGAUGGCAGACAAAAGCUACAAGAACAUGCAGAGAUCUCUAAGAAGAUCUGUGAAGAGCAUUGAGAUGUGUGAGUUUACCUGCUUUGAGCAGGCAGAAUGACAUGGUAAAGUAUCAACUGCCAAGAUAAAGUAUUUUGGUGUUCAUUUAUCUGGUCACCUGAAAUUGCCUUUAAGACGCAGAAAUUGGCGUGGAAUCCUAUUAAUUGCGAAGAUGCAGUUACUCCUUGGACAUGGUGGUGAAACCGAUGCAUGUUUGCAAUCGACAAAUGUGCAUUCUACUGUCACUUUUAUCCCUAUGCCAUGCUGUUCGGGGGGGUGGGGUGGUUGCUGCUAAUUAGUUACUUCCGUUAUUUAGUCUGAAAACCAGAUUCUCAGGAAUGGAUAUUCGUAUAGAUAAGUAGGGUAUAAUUAUAGGUUUUUGUGCUUUGUUAGAUUCGUGAACAAUAACAAGCCGAUGCUUCUUGGUUUGUGGCUGCCUAACCGUACUUCUUCGGUUGAAAUAUACUGAAUUCAAACCUGUCAAUGGGAGAAAA